UACGUAGGGUGCAAGCGUUGUCCGGAAUUAUUGGGCGUAAAGAGCUCGUAGGCGGUUUGUCGCGUCUGCUGUGAAAUCCCGAGGCUCAACCUCGGGCUUGCAGUGGGUACGGGCAGACUAGAGUGCGGUAGGGGAGAUUGGAAUUCCUGGUGUAGCGGUGGAAUGCGCAGAUAUCAGGAGGAACACCGAUGGCGAAGGCAGAUCUCUGGGCCGUAACUGACGCUGAGGAGCGAAAGCAUGGGGAGCGAAUGGG
rnacentral:rRNA from 1 species